rnacentral:rRNA from 1 species
AUUGAACGCUGGCGGCAUGCCUUACACAUGCAAGUCGAACGGUAACAGGUCUUCGGAUGCUGACGAGUGGCGAACGGGUGAGUAAUACAUCGGAACGUGCCUAGUAGUGGGGGAUAACUACUCGAAAGAGUGGCUAAUACCGCAUGAGAUCUACGGAUGAAAGCAGGGGAUCGCAAGACCUUGUGCUACUAGAGCGGCCGAUGGCAGAUUAGGUAGUUGGUGGGAUAGAAGCUUACCAAGCUGACGAUCUGUAGCUGGUCUGAGAGGACGAUCAGCCACACUGGGACUGAGACACGGCCCAGACUCCUACGGGAGGCAGCAGUGGGGAAUUUUGGACAAUGGGCGAAAGCCUGAUCCAGCAAUGCCGCGUGCAGGAUGAAGGCCUUCGGGUUGUAAACUGCUUUUGUACGGAGCGAAAAGCCCCGGGUUAAUACCCUGGGGUCAUGACGGUACCGUAAGAAUAAGCACCGGCUAACUACGUGCCAGCCGCCGCGGUAA